rnacentral:rRNA from 2 species
GCUGGCGGCAGGCCUAACACAUGCAAGUCGAGCGGAUGAAAGGAGCUUGCUCCUGGAUUCAGCGGCGGACGGGUGAGUAAUGCCUAGGAAUCUGCCUGGUAGCGGGGGACAACGUUUCGAAAGGAACGCUAAUACCGCAUACGUCCUACGGGAGAAAGCAGGGGACCUUCGGGCCUUGCGCUAUCAGAUGAGCCUAGGUCGGAUUAGCUAGUUGGUGAGGUAAUGGCUCACCAAGGCGACGAUCCGUAACUGGUCUGAGAGGAUGAUCAGUCACACUGGAACUGAGACACGGUCCAGACUCCUACGGGAGGCAGCAGUGGGGAAUAUUGGACAAUGGGCGAAAGCCUGAUCCAGCCAUGCCGCGUGUGUGAAGAAGGUCUUCGGAUUGUAAAGCACUUUAAGUUGGGAGGAAGGGCAGUAAAUUAAUACUUUGCUGUUUUGACGUUACCGACAGAAUAAGCACCGGCUAACUCUGUGCCAGCAGCCGCGGUAAUACAGAGGGUGCAAGCGUUAAUCGGAAUUACUGGGCGUAAAGCGCGCGUAGGUGGUUUGUUAAGUUGGAUGUGAAAUCCCCGGGCUCAACCUGGGAACUGCAUCCAAAACUGGCAAGCUAGAGUAUGGUAGAGGGUGGUGGAAUUUCCUGUGUAGCGGUGAAAUGGCGUAGGAUAUAGGAAGGAACCACCCAGUGGGCGAAGGCGACCCACCUGGACUGAUA